ensembl:lncRNA
UCACACGGGAACCACGUCACAGGAAACCACGUCACACACAGGAAACCACGUCACAGGAAACCACGUCAGACAGGAAACCACGUCACAGGAAACCACGUCACACGGGAACCACGUCAGACAGGAAACCACGUUCACAGGAAACCACGUCACAGGAAACCACGUCACACGGGAACCACGUCACAGGAAACCACGUCACAGAAACCACGUCAGACAGGAAACCACGUCACAGGAAACCACGUCACACACAGGAAACACACAGGAAACCACGUCACAGGAAACCACGUCACAGGAAACCACGUCACACACAGGAAACCACGUCACACACAGGAAACCACGUUAGACGGAAACCACGUCACGGGAAACCACGUCACACAGAAACCACGCACAGGAAACCACGUCACACGGAAACCACGUCACACAGGAAACCACGUCACACGGGAAACCACGUCAGACGAAACCACGUCACACAGAAACCACGUCACACAGGAAACCACGUCACA